rnacentral:rRNA from 1 species
AACGAACGCUGGCGGCGUGCCUAACACAUGCAAGUCGAGCGGGAACGGUCCCUUCGGGGGCCUAGUACAGCGGCGCACGGGUGAGUAACACGUAGGUGACCUACCUCUUGCUGGGGAACAACUCCGGGAAACCGGAGCUAAUUCCGCAUAAGCUCAUCGGAUUGCGGUCCGGUGAGGAAAGGUGGCCUCUUCAUGAAAGCUAUCGGCGAGAGAUGGGCCUGCGCACCAUUAGCUUGUUGGCGGGGUAACGGCCCACCAAGGCUACGAUGGUUAGCUGGUCUGAGAGGAUGAUCAGCCACACUGGAACUGAGACACGGCCCAGACUCCUACGGGUGGCAG